rnacentral:rRNA from 1 species
ACGUGAAACCCUGUGGGAAGCAGGAGGGACCACCCUCCAAGGCUAAAUACUACCUAGUGACCGAUAGCGUAUAGUACCGUGAGGGAAAGGUGAAAAGAACCCCGGGAGGGGAGUGAAAUAGAACCUGAAACCCUGCACUUACAAGCUGUGGAAGCACAUUUCUUGUGUGACCGCGUACUUUUUGUAGAACGGGCCAACGAGUUACGUUAAGUAGCAAGGUUAAGCACUUAAGGUGCGGAGCCGUAGCGAAAGCGAGUUUUAACUGAGCGUUCAGUUACUUGACGUAGACCCGAAACCGGGCGACCUACCCAUGAGCAGGAUGAAGCGAAAGUAAAAUUUCGUGGAGGUCCGAACCCACGAGCGUUGAAAAGCUCGGGGAUGACUUGUGGGUAGCGGUGAAAUUCCAAUCGAGCCCGGAGAUAGCUGGUUCUCCCCGAAAUAGCUUUAGGGCUAGCCUCAAGGUGAGAGAUACGGAGGUAGAGCACUGAAUGUCCUAGGGGGUAUUGCACCUACCGAAGACUAUCAAACUCCGAAUGCCGUCAUCUUAUACUUGGGAGUCAGACUGUGGGUGAUAAGAUUCAUAGUCGAAAGGGCAACAGCCCAGAUCGUCAGCUAAGGUCCCUAAAUGUAAGUUAAGUGGUAAAGGAUGUGGGAUUGCACAGACAACCAGGAUGUUGGCUUAGAAGCAGCCACUCAUUCAAAGAGUGCGUAAUAGCUCACUGGUCGAGUGAUCCUGCGCCGAAGAUUUCCGGGGCUAAAACUUACUACCGAAGCUACGGCAUCAGUAAUGAUGGGUAGGGGAGCUUCCCAUACGGGUUGAAGCAUGACCGUAAGGACAUGUGGACAGUAUGGGAGUGAGAAUGUUGGCAUGAGUAGCGAGAUGUGGGUGGGAAUCCCACAGGCCGUAAACCCAAGGUUUCCAGGGGAAGGUUCGUCCGCCCUGGGUUAGUCGGGACCUAAGCUGAGGCCGAAAGGCGUAGGUGAUGGACAACAGGUUGAUAUUCCUGUACUACCGAUAACCGUUUGAGAGAAGGGAUGACACAGUAGGAUAAGCUAAGCACACUGUUGGUUAUGUGUGCCCAAGCAUUGAGGCAGUCAAAGUAGGCAAAUCCGCUUUGAUAAUGCUGGGAUGUGAUGGGGAGCGAAAUUUAGUAGCGAAGUAGCUGAUUUCACACUGUCAAGAAAAGUCUCUAUCGAGGUUAAAGGUACCCGUACCGCAAACCGACACAGGUGGGUGAGGAGAGUAUCCUAAGGCCAGCGAGAGAACUGUUGUUAAGGAACUCGGCAAAAUGACCCCGUAACUUAGGGAUAAGGGGUGCCACCAUCAGGUGGCCGCAGAGAAUAGGCCCAAGCGACUGUUUACCAAAAACAUAGGUUUCUGCUAAGUCGCAAGACGAUGUAUAGGAGCUGACGCCUGCCCGGUGCUGGAAGGUUAAGGGGAUCUGUUAGAGCAAUCGAAGCAGUGAACUUAAGCCCCAGUAAACGGCGGCCGUAACUAUAACGGUCCUAAGGUAGCGAAAUUCCUUGUCGGGUAAGUUCCGACCCGCACGAAAGGCGUAACGAUUUGGGCACUGUCUCAACAACAGACUCGGUGAAAUUGUAAUUCCGGUGAAGAUGCCGGAUACCUGCGACAGGACGGAAAGACCCCAUGGAGCUUUACUGUAGCUUGACAUUGGGUCUUGGUACUACAUGUACAGGAUAGGUGGGAGGCUUUGAAACCAGGACGCCAGUUUUGGCGGAGCCAUCCUUGGGAUACCACCCUUGUAGUACUGGGACUCUAACCAUAGGCCAUGAAUCUGGUCUUGGGACACUGUCAGGUGGGCAGUUUGACUGGGGCGGUCGCCUCCCAAAAGGUAACGGAGGCGCUCAAAGGUUCUCUCAGUACGGUCGGAAAUCGUACGUAGAGUGUAAAGGCAAAAGAGAGCUUGAUUGCAAGACAUACAGGUCGAGCAAGGAUGAAAAUCGGACUUAGUGAUCCGGUGGUUCUGCGUGGAAGGGCCAUCGCUCAACGGAUAAAAGCUACCCUGGGGAUAACAGGCUUAUCU